rnacentral:tRNA from 1 species
UCUGUUUUAGUAUAAUUUAUUACAGUAGCUUUUCGUGCUACAGAUAGUUUCAUUUAACUAAACAGGA